AGGCUCAGCAAAACCAAAACUGACUUGGCUCUGAGGUUGGCACGAUGCCUUUGCAUGAACGGGGAAUCCUCUCUUUAAAGCUUGGUUAGGAGACACGGGGGGAGUGGGAAAGGGGGAAAGAUCUUGGAUCUGCUGCAAAUAGCAUGUCCUACGCCUCCUCUGUGGAAGCUCAUGUAAACGCUUUUCAUUCAAACAGCAAAGCUGUGAGUUUGCUAUUUCUUGGACUGUAAAUUAAAGUAGGAAAAAAAAAUCCUAACAUGUUCACGCUAGUAAAGCUCUCAAUCAUUCAAGCUAUUAUCAGUGCGAGCUCUGGUGGGGAAAGGAAUGUGCACAAUAGUUUUCAGGAAAAAAAAGAAUAAUAGGAAGAGGCAUCUCGCUGCCCUGUGAACCAGCUAAAUUAGCGCCACUUGUUGCAGAUGCUCCUCUCUCUGGGUGGGGUGCAGCUAUCAGUCAUGUUUAUCAGGUUGGAGAGCACACCAGUGCUUACAAGCUUAAAUCUUCAGCAUCAGCUGACCCAAAUGAUAGCUGCUGGUUCUCAUUUAAAAUGUGCAUGACUUGAAGAGGGCAGGUAUUUCACAAGCACUUACGCAGCAGAAUGUGUGCUGGAACAGCAGGGGUAAACAUCUUGAAUUUAGGAGUCCAAAAAUAACAGGUGCCUGCAGACCCAGGAGGGACAGCCUGGGUCACUGUCCCUGUGUCAGGACCAAGCCUCAGGCUGGCUGGCUGGCUUAGAAACUUGUCCCUGCUGAUGUCCAAGGUUAGUUUAUAUCCUUUGGAAAACGUUUUGGAACCAGACCAGAAAAUUCAGCUAGACCUUAACCGUGACUUGGCUGGGACGACACCCAAACAAAGGUCAAAAGAGAUGAGACCCAACCCUGCCCGUGCACAUGCAGCCUCUCCAGCAAGUAAUCCCCAGGAAAAAUAAAUAAAUCAAAGGUCUAAUACGGUAGUUCUCCUUGGAUUUGCAGCUGCCUCAGCUCAAUUCAAAAGCAGGCUUCCCCUUUCUUUUUUCUCUCGAGCCACUGCUAAGGUCAGAGAGGAAAACCUGAGCUGAAACAGUAACGAACUUCAUCUAGAGUGGAAACUGGAAUUCACCCCUCGGCCCCAGCCAGGCACAGGAAUUUCCACCCACCGUCCUUUCUGUGUUUCUGCUUCUGUGGUCCUGAAGGGCUGGGUUACCUGUGGGAUGGAGAGGGCAGUUUGUUUGCACAGCUCUUUUUGCCAGUCUUUUAGGUGAGGCUGUCAGCCAGAGGGUCGGGGAAUAUCAAAAGAGACUGGAUCAUCAGACUUUGUAGAAAUUCCAUAUACAAAAUACGCCUGGUUGGAACGUAUAGCUGGGAGAACAGGUGGGUUGGGGCGGGGAGGUGGGAGGGUGGGGGAGCAUGCAUGCAUUGGGAAAGGGUCUCUCUCAGCUUUUGUACAGCUUCAUGCCCCUAUUUCUCAUAUCAACACACAGGCAACACUUUGUCUUUUAAUGUGAGAGAAGGGGGCUAGACAUCUCAUCACAGCAAAAUGAAAAUCUGCUGCUUUUACUUGGAUGUGGGAAACAUUCACUCGCUUUUAAAUAUAAAACUAAACAUACGUUUGUGAACCUACUGUCACUUUCAUGUGGGAGCCUUAGCUGAACACAAAAGAUUACAUUGUGCAGCUACAAUUGAAUAGAGCAUAUAGGAUUAAAGAGAUUUUAUUUAGCCACACAUGAAAUAGCAGAGCUGAUGGCGGCCUCUGGUACAGAAGGAAAGAAAACAAAGCCAAGUAGUUCAGUGAGCACUGGUGCUAACAGAGCUGCAUCCCCUGUGUAUUCAUGUAUCGUGGCUGAUUGACUGGGGUGUCUAAGAUGGCAUAAACUGCAUUUGAAGCUUUUCAUACAGUUCAGGAACUUAUUAGUCUUUCCACUUUUAUGGAAUCUUUGAAGUCUAAUAAGA
ensembl:lncRNA